GUGCUAUCAUUUUAGUGUCUUCACUUGUCAGCCAAAUGUCUCAGUAAACACAUGGCAUGGAAGUGGCAAUGCGCCAUUCUCCCCCUGGCAGGACGCUUCUUCUGGUCGUCCGUGUAUUAACGUUUCUCAUCGUUGGUUCACCCUCCGGACAACCCCGCCCCCCUCUCUCAGAAGCUCCGGACAAUCCGCUCGGCCUUUCUGGCUUCGUUGUUGAGCUCCCCGAAGGUGUCGAAGAACUGGUCCAUCUCUCGCUGGAUAGUGGCGUUGCGGGUCUCGGCGGCGGCCCGGGCCCGCUCCGACUCCUGAAUCCUGGCCUGGACCGCCUGGUACCAGCGGCGCUGCUGCGACAGGUUGACCUUCAGACCCAGCAGCUGGCUCUGCAGCUCCUCGUUCCUCUGCUCCAGGCUGAAAAUAUAGAUUGAUCAUUAAACCCAAAUGAUCGGGUUUAAGGGAGGAAACGGGACUGGAGCGACAAAGGGAGAGGAGGAGGAGGAGGUGGACGCGAGGAGGCCCACGCCUCUUCUGCCCUAACGGAGAGGAGGAGGA
ensembl:lncRNA